UACGAAGGGGGCUAGCGUUGUUCGGAUUUACUGGGCGUAAAGCGCACGUAGGCGGAUCGUUAAGUCGGGGGUGAAAUCCUGGAGCUCAACUCCAGAACUGCCUUCGAUACUGGCGAUCUAGAGUCCGGAAGAGGUGAGUGGAACUCCUAGUGUAGAGGUGGAAUUCGUAGAUAUUCGCAAGAACACCAGUGGCGAAGGCGGCUCACUGGCCCGAUACUGAC
rnacentral:rRNA from 1 species